AGGAGGAACAGCAACAGUGGCUGCGGCCAGCUCUGGAGCCCUGGAGUCAGCUCCCACAGGAACUCCAGAGCUCUCCGUCUGCAGGGCCUGGAUGCUCGGGGGGUGG
rnacentral:pre_miRNA from 1 species